rnacentral:lncRNA from 1 species
GACCAGCAGCAGGACCACGUCCACGAUCACCAGGACGACUCAGCUAGAGUCGGAAGUUCAGAGACUACGAGAACAGCAAGCUGCUCAGGCUGCCUAUAAUGCCUCGCAGGCAGCCUAUAAUGCCUCGCAGGCAGCCUAUGUUGCCGAGAUACAUGCCAUCCAGCAGGCCCAGCAGCAGCAGAUGUUCCAGCACAUGCAGGACUUUACAGCUGCCCAGCUUCAGGGACUUCCGCCUCCGCCCAUGCCUCCGCCCAUGCCGCUACCCCAGCCGCCGCAACCUCCGCCGCAACCUCCGCAGCAACCUCCGCAGCAACCCCCAGAAGCGGAUAUUAAUUUAGACGAUUUAGAUUUUAUGUAGUUGAUGAAUUAUAUACUUUUAUGUGCUUGUUGUUGGUUAUAUGGAAUAUGGAAUUGUUUUGGUAUAUUUUGCAGCUUGCUUGGAAUGGUAAUUCAGAAAUUUCGGGGUUUUUUUUUUUACUAGAAAGGACUUAUAGCCGACGAAAAAAGCUUUAAUUCGUCGGCUAAAGUUUUUUAUUUUUUUUAAAAUAACUUUUAGCCGACGAAAUAUGCUCUAAUUCGUCGGCUAAAUACCUAUAAAGCCGACGAAAUAUACUAUAUUUCGUCGGCCAUAGAUCUUUUUUUAUUUUUUAUUACAAACUUUAGCCGACGAAUAUUUUAAAAUAUUCGUCGGCUAAAGUUUGGCAAAUAACCGACGACUUUUUUGUCGUCGGCUAUAGUCCGGACUUUAGCCGACGAAAUAAUGUCGUCGGCUAAAGUCUGGACUAUAGCCGACGAAAUAAUGUUGUCGGCUAAAGUCUGGACUAUAGCCGACGACUUAUACGUGUGUCGUCGGCUAAAGUUACCACAGACGAGCUUUUCCCGACGAAAUCUUAGCCUACAAAAGGUCGUCGGCUAAGAUCUUAGCCGACGAAUUAAGCUGACAGGCCGACGAAAAAUUUUCGUCGGCUAAAGUGCUUGUCCUGGUAGUGAUGUCACAUGUUUCUACCUCAUCAUUCUCAGCUUUCUCGUCUUUCUCUUUCAGAUCGUCUUCUUUUUGAGUUUGCAUGACAUGUUUACCUUCAUGUGCACAAACAAAUAAUCUACUUGUCACUUCAUUUGACUGUGAUCUAUACUUUGAUGAACUUCGGAUACGAGUCUAAAAUCCUUCUUGUCGACCAUAAUCUUCAUAAUAUUGUCCGGCCUCCUCCAAUGUUUCAAAAAACAUUCCAACAUAAGGGGAUUUUAGUUUUCGGACUUCUUUCUCUUGAGAAUGGUGAUCACUUGCUUUUUCACUGGAUACUUGGUUCAUCGAGGAACCAAGAUUGUCAUCUUCUAAAUUCAAGUCCAUUGAUUCCAACCUAAGGAACACAACAUGAUCAUAAAUAUUUGUCAGACAAAUUGGAUAACAGAUUUAAAGAAAGAGAAAAGUUGCUGCAUGAUAUCCGACUAUUUG